UACGUAGGGUGCAAGCGUUGUCCGGAAUUAUUGGGCGUAAAGAGCUCGUAGGCGGUCUGUUGCGUCCGCUGUGAAAACUCGGGGCUUAACCCCGAGCCUGCAGUGGAUACGGGCAGACUAGAGGUAGGUAGGGGGAGAAUGGAAUUCCCGGUGUAGCGGUGAAAUGCGCAGAUAUCGGGAGGAACACCGGUGGCGAAGGCGGUUCUCUGGGCCUGUACUGACGCUGAGGAGCGAAAGCGUGGGGAGCGAACAGG
rnacentral:rRNA from 1 species